rnacentral:rRNA from 1 species
UACGGAGGGUGCAAGCGUUAAUCGGAAUUACUGGUCGUAAAGCGCGCGUAGGUGGUUUGAUAAGCGAGAUGUGAAAGCCCCGGGCUUAACCUGGGAACGGCAUUUCGAACUGUCAGGCUAGAGUAUGGUAGAGGAGUGUGGAAUUUCCUGUGUAGCGGUGAAAUGCGUAGAUAUAGGAAGGAACACCAGUGGCGAAGGCGGCACUCUGGACCAAUACUGACACUGAGGUGCGAAAGCGUGGGGAGCAAACAGG